GAAGGCAUGUGCAAGUGUGAGUUAGGGCAGCAGGGUCCCACUUAGUGUACUUUUACUGUAUAUAAUACCCUUGACGGUUAGAGAAUGUUACUGUAUUUAAUUGAACCGGAAUAAUAGUGAGAGUUUCGCUGAGUUGAAUUAAUCUUAUUAUUUGACUGCAUGAUGCCAUAAAAAAAUUUGAGGUGAGGGAUUCCAUAAAGAGACACCAGCCCUAUAUGCUAAAGGACAUUAAUGGAAGUAUUUUAUAAUAAUACCUGUUGUUGGUGAAAGAGGUUUGCUAUAAAAUGGUCACAGUGCCUACUCAGUUUUGUUAAAUAAGAUUUUCUUUCCAUUCCUUUUUGAUCAUUUUCAUAACACAGUUCAAAGCAAAUGCUAACACAUGGUGUUUAACAACUCAAGACCACUUACAUUAGUUACAGUAAGUCAUCCAUAUGAUAUACUGUGGUCCAUCCAUUUAGUCUCCGGAUGGUGGGGAUUCCAACAGCACUGGGCCAGGCUAAAUCUGUCAGUUAUUAUAACCUAUUAUUCGGACAGUGCUUCGCAGUCUGUUGUGUCCCACUUUUUCCCAUAUAAGUAUCUUCAUGGCCCACCAAGGGGAGAGGGGCAUACCCUUGGAAAGUUGAGUGGCAACCCACUCAUGACCCACCACCCACUAACAUUAAUAAGUUGUGACCCAGCGGUUGAGAAACACAGCUUUAGAAUAUUAAGAUUGUCUUGUUUUACUGCCACUUGAUUGACCUUAAGCCUUUGUUCAUGCUUUUUUAUAAUUUCUUUUCUUUUUUUUUUCCUUUAAUAUCAUUUGAUUGUGAUCUGGGAUCCAACAUCGCUGCCAUACUGUCAGGUGGUGUGGGUAGGUGAAGUGGUAGAUGUGAAUGUGACUCAAUGUGUGAUAGCUUGGUGGCUUUUUCCAUAUAAUAAAAGGAUACUUGCAAUCAUGCCAAUGCUGUCACUUUAUUUGAUAUUUUAGGUGUGCUAGUAUAAAAUUCAAAAGCACCUGUAGUCAAUGUCAUGUCUGUCUGUCCAUCUGCUUGUCUAAAUGAAAGCCCCUGUGAGGGAAUCAACCAGCUGCUCCACCACUAGUGUACAGUCAGACCCCAAACUAGCUUGUUAGGUCAUCGUUUUUAAUUGGGGACAUUCUGAGUUGUCAAUAUCACUUUUUGCUGGUAUGAAUUUAACUUCUUUUAUCUUUGAAAACAGGACCUGCUACAACUGUAUCACUUUCUAUUCACAAUAUGUAUGUCACUGCAUCAGGUCACAUGCCGGACCAUAUAGGACAUGGGUGGAAAAGCCAAGAAAGCAAAACAACUGAGUCCAGGACAAUCCAAGGGAUCGAAUCUUGGACACAUGGAGGAUAUCUGCUGACUGGCUGACCAACCGAAGCAUUACCUGAUCUCCUAAGUUGGUUCUGCUCUGCCCUGUUCAUCUGUUGGUAAAGCUCUACAAGAAGUACUUGAAGUUUUUCAGGAACAGAUGAUAAAAACUGUGACAAUCCUGCUCAUCACUCCUCCUGCGUUUUGUCUUCUCAAGAACAAGUGACAGUCAGUUGCGCCACCGAUGACAUUACAUCUAUUCCCUGACUGCCUGAACCUGUUUCUUCCUAUUCUCCAGGAAAACUCCGCCACCAUUGAAUGCCUCUGUCACCAUUUUGAGUCAGCCAACCACUUACUCACAUCUGAAAAGAGCCUUGAGAAACCACCCUGUGACAGCCAUGAAGCAAAGGAAGUCCCGUCUCUCCCAAUCCCCCCGAUGUAGAAACAGAAUGCUCCCAGAAGGCGACAUCUCAUUCCAAUGCUGAUCUUGCUUCUGUGCAGACCCAAGCCAGAGCCUGUAACCUAGUCAUUCCUGAGAGAAGACGGUAUUUUCUAAACAGCUCAUUGAGGUGUAUAUUUUUGUUAGAUUUUCUUAUUUUUCUGUUUCAGUUAAACAGAAUUUUACCUAGAUGGCUGCAGAAGCAUUUGGUCUUUGUCCAGCCUCCUCAUUCACCCCACUACAUUACAGUAUAUUCUGUAUAUGUCAGUAUAUCUAUGUAGUAGCCAUCCACCACGGCUCCACCUGUGUUGUAGUGAA